rnacentral:snRNA from 1 species
GAGUGUUACAGCUCUUUUAGAAUUUGUCUAGCAGGUUUUCUGUUUUUUACCUGAAAGCCCUA